AUUGAACGCUGGCGGCAUGCCUUACACAUGCAAGUCGAACGGCAGCGCGGACUUCGGUCUGGCGGCGAGUGGCGAACGGGUGAGUAAUGUAUUGGAACGUACUAUUCAGUGGGGGAUAACGCAGCGAAAGUUUCGCUAAUACCGCAUAUUCUGUGCGCAUGAAUGACGGGGAUCGCAAGAGCUUGAGCUGAUUGAGCGGCCGAUAUCAGAUUAGCUAGUUGGAGAGGUAAAGGCUCACCAAGGCGACGAUAUGUGGCGGGGCUGCGAGGAUGAUCCGCCACACUGGAACUGAGACACGGUCCAGACUCCUACGGGAGGCAGCAGUGGGGAAUUUUGGACAAUGGGCGCAAGCCUGAGCCAGCCAUGCCGCGUGAGUGAAGAAGGCCUUCGGGUUGUAAAGCUCUUUCGGCCGGGAAGAAAUCGUAUGGGUUAAUACCCUGUGCGGAUGACGGUACCGGCAUAAGAAACACCGGCUAACUACGUGCCAGCCGCCGCCGUAACAC
rnacentral:rRNA from 1 species